rnacentral:rRNA from 2 species
CAUUUGCCUUAUAAUUGAAGGCUAGUAUGAAUGGUUUGACAAGAAUGUAGCUGUCUCUUUAUAAUUAAAUAGAAUUUUAUUUAUAGGUGAAGAAGCCUAUAUUAAAUUAAAAGACAAGAAGACCCUAUCGAGCUUGAAAAAAACUAGUAGAGUAAGUAGUUAAUGAUAUCAGAAAAUUUACUAUUAGAAAUUUUAGUUGGGGCGACUAAGGAACAAAAAAAGCUUCCUUUAAGAAUUAAAAACUAAACAAGUAUUGAUCCAAAACAUUUGAUUAAAGGAAUUAGUUACCGUAGGGAUAACAGCAUUAUCUUUUUUAAGAGCUCUUAUCGAAAAAAAGGUUUGUGACCUCGAUGUUGGACCAGAAUAUCCUAAAGAUGCAGCAGUCUUUAAGGGUUGGUCUGUUCGACCAUUAAAAUUCU